CGUGUAAGUGAGUGUGUUUUGUCGUUUAAAAACCUUUAGCAAUGAUCUUGAUCUUGAUCUAUAACGCGAGAUGGGCGCCGCCAUCUUAGUUUGUGCCACAGUUCAGAGUCCUGUCAGUCGGAUUUAUAGCACGGGAGUUCAUCGGUUUCUCUUGAAAAUACAUCAUCAAACUGUCAGCAUAGCUGUCUAUGGAGGGAAAGCUCUCAGAUUUCAUCAAAAAGAUCUUUAUUUGUGUUCAGAAGAUGAACGAAAGUCUCACGGGUUUGGAACGGCAUGAGGCAUCCCUCCAUCUGAGACGACGCGGUCCCUCGUUCCGGUUGAAAAAGAGGGGUAGGAGAGAAAAGGGGGCUUCACUUCACAUCCAGUGCAGCAUGAAAAACGGGUUCCUUCCCUUCACAUGCAAAUCUAGCAUUACAUAACUAGACAAUCUGCUUGGGAGUCUAAAACUCACACGUAGUUUUGACGCACACACACACACGCACAGUGAAUGGAGAAUGAUGCCUUUAUCCUGUAUGUAAACAUGGCUAUUUUAGUUACUUGUAAAAGGUCAGACAAAGAAAACUGUGAGUUACACUGAGCUGAGAUCAGCUUUAAAGCAGAUUAAUUCUGUAUACUAAAUAAAAACAGGGUGACUUCAAAACAGAACAGAUUUAAUGCAAAUUUCUAUCACCUAAUCCUAACCAAUACACUAACCGUAACUCAUAAACAUUUUUCUGCAUUUAAUUUAAGAAAAAAAAUAUGAUGAUUUGGAGAUGACUAAAAUUAACAUUACCUUUCAAUUGAUCCUAAUGCUAGGAAUGUACUAUCCUCAACUAUGUGAAUGUCUCAGCAGAGCAUUGUUUGUUUGUUCGGUACAUUUCACUGUGGAUUCUUUGGUAAAUCAGUCGCAAUUUCAGUGCAGGCUUUGCAAACAGACUUUUACUGUAAGAUAUGGACCUGACAGUAAUGCCACAAUAUGUAAGCAACCGUGUUAAUUCUAAUGCCUCAUCUGUGAUUUCUGAUAUGCAAUUGGUCACGUACAGUCAGACGUUCUUUGUCUCAAAAUCGUUUAUUGCUGUUUAUGCGUCAGUAAAUCAAGCCAGUGACUAAACGAUCAACUUCACAUUGUUUGUAGCAUGAAAAUAAUCUGUUAUUUAAAUUGUGAUUAAAUUAUAUACAGAAAGCAAUCAAAGAACCCUCCUUUUAUAAUCGUUGGAGCUGUCAAUUACACAGUGCUAGUUUAUCUGAGACUUUCCAUAUUUAACGAGGUGGCUAAUUCAUAUGACCUCACUUGUACGAAUUUGUAUGUUUUUUGCUAAACCGUACGUAUUUUACGAGUUGCCAAAUUCGUAUGAAUUCAUAGGAAUUAUCUACCCCUAACCCCGCCCCUAAACCUACCCAUCACUGGAGUUUCGACAAAUUGUAUGAAUUCGUACGAGUGACGUUGUACAAAUUCGUACGAAUUAGCCAUCUCAUAAAAUACAUACGAAUUGGUACGGGGAUAGCGUUCGAUUUUCGCCAAAACUUUCGCAGUUAUAAUCAAUGACACUGUCUACACUGCACAAUGAAUCUUUUUACGAUCUUUUCAACAGCUGUAAUAGUAAAAACAUAGUAAAAGUUUUCGAGAGAGUAACACAUUUCAUAUGAAAAGAUGUUAGCCAGUCAUAGCAGUGGGCGUUUACACUGAAGUCUCACAGCAGACACGGCCCUUCCAACAGAGCAUUCAAAUCAGAGGGAGAAAAUUAAUGGUAGAAAAUGGCCUUUUAUUUCUAAAUGACGACAAUUUUGUAAAAAUGUAAAAAUCACACUAACAUAAUAAAUGCAC